rnacentral:tRNA from 5 species
GAUGCUCUAACCUCUGAGCUAAGCGGGC